UACUGACCAUAUGAAUAGUAUAGCCAAAUUUUUCUUCCCAUCUAGUUGACCAAAUCUUAAUAUCUUAUCACAUAGGGAGUGAGAGUGAAGUAAAAAAUUGGACCGCUGAUUGAUGCUAAAAGCCAAAAUGAAAAUAUUUAUCUGUGUUUCGCACAGCUGUAUUUAACAUUGAUUCAUCUACAUAACUGUGAAGGGCGAAUUUCAUAUUUUAAUGCUUGUCAUCUAUGGUGAUAGCAGCUAGAAGUGAUAAAUUGAGACAUCAAGAUGUCUUACAGCAGAAGGGGAUCUGAUCCGCCACCGCAGAGGCGGAUACUGCGGACUCAGACUGCUGGGAAUUUGGGGGCAGACCCAAUCUUGGACAGUGAAGUGGUGCCUUCCUCACUAGUUGAGAUAGCUCCCAUUCUUCGUGUUGCUAAUGAAGUAGAGGCUAACAACCCAAGGGUUGCUUAUCUCUGUAGAUGAAGCAAAUGCAAAUACAGGUAGAUAAAGCAAAUGCCAGAGCAGUUAAAGAGCGUGAGACGCACAGAAAGCCAUUGAAGAAGCACCACCAGUUAUUAAGGAGACUCCUGUUCUAGUUCAAGACUCAGCAAAGAUUAAAGAAGCACCACCAGGUUCUUUCUCUUUUUUUGGGUUAAAUUUAAUUGUGAGUAAUCACUAAGCCUCACAAGUUCCACUGCAUUAGAGCUCAAACUUCAGGUGAUUCAGAUAGAACUGUUAGAUAUAUAAUUUUGCUAUACAUGUUUGGUUUGUGUUGAUGAUCACUAAUAUGAAUGUUAAUGUUUAUACUCUAUACAAGGUUCAACAAAAAUUGAAAGGAUUCCUGAGAAAACAGAUUCCAAGGAUGAUAACUUAGUAUUUGUUGCUGGUACUACUGUUGGAGGUGGUUCAAGAACUGUUAGAUACAUUUAGAGCUUAUAAAAUUGGAUUUAAAGUAAGAGCUAGAGUGAGGAGUGCUGAGAGAGCUGGUCUACUAAUCAAGAUACAGGUUCUAUCUUAUGAACAAGAUUUGGUAUCCAUUAGUGCUUGAUAUGAAAAGGAUGAACAAGAUUUGGGAUCUUUAAUUGCAAGUACUUAUCCUUUUGGUGGAGUGUCCUCCUAUAAAGCAAAGUAGGCCGAAAAAAUUGACACCAUUUGAUAUGCCAAGAUUGAUUUACCGUCACAAAUAUUGAUGAUAAGCCCAACAGAUAAUGUACUUUUAUACGAUGGAAUAGUUUUUCCUGGGGAGUCUAAGUGAAGUCAAGUAGUUCUAGUGCAGUUCCACUAUCACCGCUAUCGCCGCCACCCUCAAUCUCUUCGGAUGAGGACUAUGAUGAUGAUGAGGAUGAAGAUGACACCGAAGACUAUAGCUGAUAGUUUUAGUAUGGUUGAAUAAUAUACUAGGAAUUAUAGUUGAUGAUUAAUACACUUUGUUUAUGUUUUGAAUUAUAUUAACUUGCUUGUUUAUAUUACUUUUCUUUUAGUUUGAUAA